rnacentral:misc_RNA from 1 species
UAUUAGCAUGUCAAGCCAAUGUGGACCCAGUGGCAAGUAAGAACCAUGGUGAUGUGAUAAGUAUAUGGAGGACAGAAAACAAAAAUAACACCGAUACACCAAAGUUGGUUAAUAAAUUCUCCAGUACUCAUGCAAUAUUGUAGUAAUGACAGUUUCUGAAAGUGAAAAAUAAUCCAUUUAUAGGCAACAGGCACAGAAUGACUCUAGAAAACAACAUCUAAAUAUAAGUUUUAAAAAGUAAAAUAUAUGCACCCUAAACCUUAUAUGCAGGAGA